UACGGGGGGGGCAAGCGUUGUUCGGAAUUACUGGGCGUAAAGGGCUCGUAGGCGGCCAACUAAGUCAGACGUGAAAUCCCUCGGCUUAGCCGGGGAACUGCAUCUGAUACUGGAUGGCUUGAGUUCGGGAGAGGGAUGCGGAAUUCCAGGUGUAGCGGUGAAAUGCGUAGAUAUCUGGAGGAACACCGGUGGCGAAGGCGGCAUCCUGGACCGACACUGACGCUGAGGAGCGAAAGCCAGGGGAGCAAACGGG
rnacentral:rRNA from 1 species